rnacentral:rRNA from 1 species
AGGACGAACGCUGGCGGCGUGCUUAACACAUGCAAGUCGAGCGGAAAGGCCCUUCGGGGUACUCGAGCGGCGAACGGGUGAGUAACACGUGAGGAACCUACCCCGGACUCAGGGAUAACGGCUGGAAACGGCUGCUAAUACCUGAUGCCGUCGGAGCAUCACAUGGUGCACUGACGAAAGAAUCUCGGUUCGGGAGGGCCUCGCGGCCUAUCAGCUUGUUGGUGGGGUAACGGCCUACCAAGGCAUCGACGGGUAGCUGGUCUGAGAGGAUGAUCAGCCACACUGGGACUGAGACACGGCCCAGACUCCUACGGGAGGCAGCAGUGGGGAAUCUUGCGCAAUGGGCGAAAGCCUGACGCAGCAACGCCGCGUGCGGGAAGAAGGCCUUAGGGUUGUAAACCGCUUUCAGUAGGAACGAAAUGACGGUACCUGCAGAAGAGGUGCGGCCAACUACGUGCCAGCAGCCGC